GAUGAAGAACGUAGCGAAAUGCGAUAAGUAGUGUGAAUUGCAGAAUUCAGUGAAUCAUCGAAUCUUUGAACGCACAUUGCGCCCCUUGGUAUUCCAUGGGGCAUGCCUGUUCGAGCGUCAUUUGUACCUUCAAGCUCUGCUUGGUGUUGGGUGUUUGUCUCGCCUCUGCGUGUAGACUCGCCUUAAAACGAUUGGCAGCCGGCGUAUUGAUUUCGGAGCGCAGUACAUCUCGCGCUUUGCACUCAUAACGACGACGUCCAAAAGUACAUUUUUACACUCUUGACCUCGGAUCAGGUAGGGAUACCCGCUGAACUUAAGCAUAUCAAUAAGCGGAGGA
rnacentral:misc_RNA from 1 species